rnacentral:rRNA from 1 species
UUGCUGGGUGGAUUAGUGGCGAACGGGUGAGUAACACGUGAGUAACCUGCCCUUGACUCUAGGAUAAGCCCGGGAAACUGGGUCUAAUACUGGAUAGGAACGUCUACCGCAUGGUGGAUGUUGGAAAGAAUUUCGGUCAUGGAUGGACUCGCGGCCUAUCAGCUUGUUGGUGAGGUAAUGGCUCACCAAGGCGACGACGGGUAGCCGGCCUGAGAGGGUGACCGGCCACACUGGGACUGAGACACGGCCCAGACUCCUACGGGAGGCAGCAGUGGGGAAUAUUGCACAAUGGGCGAAAGCCUGAUGCAGCGACGCCGCGUGAGGGAUGACGGCCUUCGGGUUGUAAACCUCUUUCAGUAGGGAAGAAGCGAAAGUGACGGUACCUGCAGAAGAAGCACCGGCUAACUACGUGCCAGCAGCCGCGGUAAUACGUAGGGUGCGAGCGUUAUCCGGAAUUAUUGGGCGUAAAGAGCUCGUAGGCGGUUUGUCGCGUCUGUCGUGAAAGUCCGGGGCUUAACCCCGGAUCUGCGGUGGGUACGGGCAGACUAGAGUG